AUCCAGGUGACGAGUCCCAAACAGGACGAAACGUGGGGCCUGGAU
rnacentral:hammerhead_ribozyme from 1 species